UACGUAGGGACCGAGCGUUGUCCGGAAUCAUUGGGCGUAAAGAGCGUGUAGGCGGCCAAUUAAUUCCUGCGUGAAAUCUCGGGGCUCAACCCCGAGCGGUCGUGGGAAACUGGUUGGCUAGAGUGCGGGAGAGGAGAGUGGAAUUCCUGGUGUAGCGGUGAAAUGCGCAGAUAUCAGGAAGAACACCCGUGGCGAAGGCGGCUCUCUGGAACGCAACUGACGCUGAGACGCGAAAGCGUGGGGAGCAAACAGG
rnacentral:rRNA from 1 species